rnacentral:lncRNA from 1 species
CUUGAAAUCACAUUAGUUGUAUUAUCAAGGGGGAAAAUUUGGAAAAUGUGGAUCUGCCACUCAUACUUCCCUGCCCUGAUAAUGUUUUCAGCAUCUAACAGAUCAUAUAUUAAGUCACUAACCAGAUUAGCCACCUGCUCCGCAUUUCUAGGACUCACCACCUUUCCCAUGAUGCUCCACUUCAGCUCAAAGACACCAGACUUUGGGACAACGGUUGUCUCCUCAAGCCUUCGUUUUCUGGAGAGCCACUUACCAAACAGAUCAGAAAUGAGGACUACCAUACUUUACCAUGACUACCAGAGGGAGAGAGAAAUAAAAAUUAUUUCCUGGCUGGGCCUAUGCAUCCUAUAAAAUGGGUGGCAGAGCUUAAAGUGUGGGGGUUUGUGAGAUAACAAGUCUAUUCUGAAAGUAGUGGGCCAAGCCCAGAAUCCUUAUAAAGCAGAAAGAGCCUGUGAUCAGAGGCAUUUCUCCUCUGCACAUGGAGGUAGGAGAAGAGAUGCUAAAGCUUUAGUAUGGUGUGCUGAGUUUGGUUUUAGAUUCUUAGUCACCUAGUUUAUCAAGAAUUUUAUAUUUAAAAGGUUUGCCCAAAUUUUGUANNNNNNNNNNNNNNNNNNNNNNNNNNNNNNNNNNNNNUCAUCAUCAUCAUCAUCAUUACUAUCACAGAAACCAUCAUUACAAAGCUGAGGGACCUAUACUGUUUACUUCAUAAGUGCAAACUUUUACCAUGCAUCCACCCUGGAACAUGACUAUCCCUCUCCCAUACAUCCAUUUCACAUAGACAUUUGUUUUUUUCUUCUCUACACUUUUAUUCUGAGUUAUCACCCAAGUAAACUCCUUGUGGGCAGGGAC